rnacentral:rRNA from 1 species
GAUGAACGCUGGCGGCGUGCCUAAUACAUGCAAGUCGAGCGAACGGACGAGAAGCUUGCUUCUCUGAUGUUAGCGGCGGACGGGUGAGUAACACGUGGAUAACCUACCUAUAAGACUGGGAUAACUUCGGGAAACCGGAGCUAAUACCGGAUAAUAUUUUGAACCGCAUGGUUCAAAAGUGAAAGACGGUCUUGCUGUCACUUAUAGAUGGAUCCGCGCUGCAUUAGCUAGUUGGUAAGGUAACGGCUUACCAAGGCAACGAUGCAUAGCCGACCUGAGAGGGGGAUCGGACACACUGGAACUGAGACACGGUCCAGAAUACUAAGGGAGGCAGCAGUAGGGAAUCUUCCGCAAUGGGCGAAAGCCUGACGGAGCAACGCGCCGUGAGUGAUGAAGGUCUUCGGAUCGUAAAACUCUGUUAUUAGGGAAGAACAUAUGUGUAAGUAACUGUGCACAUCUUGACGGUACCUAAUCAGAAAGCCACGGCUAACUACGUG